rnacentral:rRNA from 1 species
GGUAGUGUAGUUAACACCUGCAUUAUUUGACGUUACCUACAGAAGAAGCCACCGGCUAACUCCGUGCCAGCAGCCGCGGUAAUACGGAGGGUGCGAGCGUUAAUCGGAAUUACUGGGCGUAAAGCGCAUGCAGGCGGCCUGUUAAGUCAGAUGUGAAAGCCCCGGGGCUUAACCUCGGAAUUGCAUUUUGAAACUGGCAGGCUAGAGUCUUGUAGAGGGGGUAGAAUUUCAGGUGUAGCGGUGAAAUGCGUAGAGAUCUGAAGGAAUACCAGUGGCGAAGGCCGGCCCCCUGGACAAAGACUGACGCUCAGAUGCGAAAGCGUGGGGAGCCAAACAGGAUUAGAUACCCCUGGUAG